CCAGACUCCUACGGGAGGCAGCAGUGGGGGAUAUUGCACAAUGGGGGAAACCCUGAUGCAGCGACGCCGCGUGAGUGAAGAAGUAUUUCGGUAUGUAAAGCUCUAUCAGCAGGGACGAAAAUGACGGUACCUGAGUAAGAAGCCCCGGCUAACUACGUGCCAGCAGCCGCGGUAAUACGUAGGGGGCAAGCGUUAUCCGGAUUUACUGGGUGUAAAGGGAGCGUAGACGGUUAUGCAAGUCUGGAGUGAAAGGCGGGGGCCCAACCCCGGGACUGCUCUUGGAACUGUGCGGCUGGAGUGCGGGAGGGGCAGGCGGAAUUCCUGGUGUAGCGGUGAAAUGCGUAGAUAUCAGGAGGAACACCGGCGGCGAAGGCGGCCUGCUGGACCGCGACUGACGUUGAGGCUCGAAAGCGUGGGGAGCGAACAGGAUUAGAUACCCCGGUA
rnacentral:rRNA from 1 species